rnacentral:rRNA from 1 species
GACGAACGCUGGCGGCGUGCCUAAUACAUGCAAGUAGAACGCUGAAGAGAGGAGCUUGCUCUUCUUGGAUGAGUUGCGAACGGGUGAGUAACGCGUAGGUAACCUGCCUGGUAGCGGGGGAUAACUAUUGGAAACGAUAGCUAAUACCGCAUGAUAUUAAUUGUCGCAUGAUAAUUAAUUGAAAGAUGCAAUUGCAUCACUACCAGAUGGACCUGCGUUGUAUUAGCUAGUUGGUGAGGUAACGGCUCACCAAGGCGACGAUACAUAGCCGACCUGAGAGGGUGAUCGGCCACACUGGGACUGAGACACGGCCCAGACUCCUACGGGAGGCAGCAGUAGGGAAUCUUCGGCAAUGGGGGGAACCCUGACCGAGCAACGCCGCGUGAGUGAAGAAGGUUUUCGGAUCGUAAAGCUCUGUUGUAAGAGAAGAACGGGUGUGAGAGUGGAAAGUUCACACUGUGACGUUCUACCAGAAGGACGCA